ensembl:lncRNA
GUUCAAUUCAAUUCAAUUCAAUUUUAUUUGUUUAGCGCUUUUUACAAUAGACAUUGUCUCAAAGCAGCUUUACAGAAAUAUCAACACGGUGUACAGAUAUUAAAGGUGCGAAUUUAUCCCAACUGAGCAAGCCACUGAGUGGCGACGGUGGCAAGGAAAAACUCCCUAAGAUGUUUUAAGAGGAAGAAACCUUGAGAGGAACCCGACUCAGAAGGGAACCCGUCCUCAUCUGGGUAACAACAGAUAGUGUGAAAAAGUUCAUUAUGGAUUUAUAUGAAGUCUGUAUGGCGUUAGGAGCAGCCGUAGUCCCAGCAGUCUGGAAUUAAAGAAGAUUUGAGCUCCAUCCAGAGGCAGAAAGGAUCUGGAUCUCUAGUAUCUCCAUAAAUUCGUGUGGGGCUCGGCGAAAGGAGAGAGGGAGAAAAAAGAUAAUUAUGACUGCGAAGUAGUAGAACAGAAUCUAGUCAGGGUAGGCUUGAGUAAACAAAUACGUUUUAAGCUUAGACUUAAACACUGAGACUGUGUCUGAGUCCCGAACACUAAUAGGAAGACUGUUCCAUAACAGUGGGGCUCUAUAAGAGAAAGCUCUUCCCCCUGCUGUAGCCUUCACUAUUCGAGGUACCGUCAGAUAGCCUGCAUCUUUUGAUCUAAGUAGGCGUGGCGGAUCAUAGAAAACCAAAAGGUCGCUUAGAUAUUGUGGCGCGAGACCGUUUAGUGCUUUAUAGGUUAAUAAAAGUAUUUUAUAUUAAUGCGAGAUUUUACUGGGAACACUGCAGGUGUUCUAUGGGUUCUACGGGGUUCUACAGGUGUUCUACGGUGUUCUACAGGUGUUCUACAGGGUUCUACAGGGGUUCUACGGGGGUUCUACAGGUGUUCUACAGUGGUUCUACAGGUGUUCUUUGAGUGGUUAGAAGUUCUAUGUGGAACUUUAUUAUAGGGUUCUAUAACAGAUUAAUAAUAAUUCAUUAUAUAGCUUUACUGUAAUUGACUCCAAAUCCCACUUUACUAAACCCUCUUAUUUUAAACAUUUAAUAAAUCUGUAAAUUAUCUAGCAAACUCUAAUCAUUUCUCCACACCAAAGUCUAAAUCAACUGAUAUUAGCUAAUCUAAUGUUACAACCGUCUGCGUAACGUACCCAGUCUGCUUCUAGUUGAUCCCAAAUUCCUGUCAUUUUUAAAAGCACACCCUCAUGUUCCCCUUCAUCUUCCCACAUCUUUAUCCCAAACUCUCACUGCUGUAUAUAACUCGUUAUAUAUCACCUCAUUAAAGGUUUAAAUAAUGAACAUUGUGCAGCUCGGUUUAUCGACACAAAAUCCCUCUACACGCUUCUUCUUCCUCCUGCAGACCUCAGUGUGUGGUGUAAUGGUGAAUCCGCAGGUGUCCCUCAGGGCUCCAUCUUACAUCCCGCCCUGUUCUCUAUGAUAUAACCGCUGAUAUCUGUGUGGUAAGUGCUUAUGAGGUGUAUUUCUGUGUGCUGUUCAUUUCAGUUCAUUCAUUUACCCAAAUUCUGCUCUAAUUCACGUAUCCAGACACAUCCACUCGCAAACUUCUUAUCCAACCUCCUAUACCUCAUCUAAUACGCUGUAAACCUCCUAAAAUCCUCGAAAUUGGAAUUUAAAUCCUUAAUGUAACUCAACAAACUUUUAUUCACCCCAUUAAUAACCUCUACACUAAUGUAUCUCCCCCGGCCUCCAAUUUAACAGCUGCUCGUCUAAUGAUCAAAUCUCCUCACGUCUAAUCAUCUCUAAUCAUUCCAUUUAUGUAAACACCCCAAAAUUCCUCCUUAUAAUCACACACUGUAAUACACACACUGAAAUACACACACUGUAAUACACACACUGUACUACACACACACACACACAUUGUACUACACACACACACUGUACUACACACACUGUAAUACACACACUGUAAUACACACACACACACUGUACUACACACACACACUGUACUACACACACU